UUGUAACAAACAUAAACAGUUUCAGUACACGUCAAUAUAUCGCGGGACGGCUUGCGAGUUGCUAGUAUUAGUGAAGUCUCUUCCUCACCCACGGUUAACUGCCACUGUCGUAACUGGAAUUUAUACAGGAAAAGAUCGUAGCAAAAUAUACAGCUGAGAAUCAUGGGUGGAUCAUGGAGUGGAGAUGCCAGUCAGAACGGAGGAAGUGGAAGCAGCAAAUCGCACAAUUAUGCGAACGAUAAUAGAUCAAACCAGUGCAACCCCAACCAUUCUGAAUAUCGAGGUUACACGGGCAGUUACGGAGGCGAUGGCUCGAAAGCAGAUCGGAACAAUCACUCCAACCAAUUAAAUCCCAAUAACUGGAGAUAUUCUGGGAAGUAAAUUGAAAAACUUUUUUUCAACAUCAUAGCUUCAUCGUAUACUUUAUUCUAUUAAUUCGAUGUUUUUUGAAUUGAAUAAAAUUCACUAUGUACGA